AUACGGAGGAUCCGAGCGUUAUCCGGAUUUAUUGGGUUUAAAGGGUGCGCAGGCGGGAGAUUAAGUCGGCGGUGAAAAUUUGCAGCUCCACUGUAAAAGUGCCUUCGAAACUGGUUUCCUUGAGUGGAGAUGAAGUAGGCGGAAUUUGUGGUGGAGCGGUGAAAUGCAUAGAUAUCACGAGGAACUCCGAUUGCGCAGGCAGCUUACUAAACUACUACUGACGCUCAUGCACGAAGGCGUGGGGAUCAAACAGGAUUAGAUACCCUGGUAGUCCACGCAGUAAACGAUGAUUACUAGCUGUUUGCGAUACAAUGUAAGCGGCUGAGCGAAAGCGUUAAGUAAUCCACCUGGGGAGUACGUUCGCAAGAAUAAAACUCAAAUGAAUUGACGGGU
rnacentral:rRNA from 1 species